GCUAUAAAAUUCUGAGACUAAAUAUCAAAUUAAAGAAAGCACUAAUUGUCAGCGAUGGGGGAUGUACUGCUAUUUUCUUCUAGUGGUACUCACUGCUCAUUUCCUAUAUUCACUGGUAUAAAAAAAUUUCAAACACCCUCAAAAAAGCCUAUACUGGUGGUACCACAAAAACGCUGAAAAUCAUUACUCUCUGCGUGGUGUCCAGCUCUUUUGGUUACAUCAUCACUUCGACCAUUCACUUUUAAAGAAAAACUUUUGUGGAACAAAAAUGUAAAGAUUUUAUUUUUUUUCUUGGUGGCUUAGCACAGUGGUCUAAUGUGGCUGACCAUGUGCGCCUGUUGUGUGAGUCACUUAGACGUGCUUUGUUUCUUGGUCACAGUUGAUCCCUCAACUCAAGCAUCUCACCCUCAAAAUGUUUGUUUGGGACCCAAGAGGCAAACCUUGAGACGGGUUAUUUCUUUCACCUUGGAUUGGCUCAUCUGCUGGGAGUGGAGCCAAGCUGACAUUUCCUUUCCUUUCUCUCCUUUCUUUCCUUUUUGUCUGCCUAUCACUAGGUAGAGGCAGCACAUAAGAGAGGGAAAGCCAUGCGCGUGGAGUCCAGCACAUCACCCAGAAGGCAGAUGUUCUGUCUCCAUUUUACUCAUGAAAAGAAACAAAACCACACCUGGAUUGCCUGGCACUUAAAUAAAAUGUACUAUGAUGAUUGAAGAAAAAUC
rnacentral:lncRNA from 1 species